CCUACGGGUGGCUGCAGUGAGGAAUAUUGGUCAAUGGACGAGAGUCUGAACCAGCCAAGUAGCGUGAAGGAUGACUGCCCUACGGGUUGUAAACUUCUUUUAUAUGGGAAUAAAAUGUUACACGUGUGGGAUUUUGUAUGUACCAUAUGAAUAAUGAUCGGCGAACUCCGUGCCAGCAGCCGCGGUAAUACGGAGGAUCCGAGCGUUAUCCGGAUUGAUUGGGUUUAAAGGGGGCGUAGGUGGAUUGUUAAGUCAGUUGUGAAAGGUUGCGGAGCAACCGUAAGAAUGCAGUUGAAACUGGCAGUCUUGAGUACAGUAGAGGUGGGCGGAAUUCGUGGUGUAGCGGUGAAAUGCGUAGAUAUCACGAAGAACUCCGAUUGCGAAGGCAGCUCACUGGACUGCAACUGACACUGAGGCUCGAAAGUGUGGGUAUCAAACAGGAUUAGAUACCCGAGUAGUC
rnacentral:rRNA from 1 species